UGAAACAAGGAUCGUAUCGCUCUGUUGUUGAAUGGACCAAAAGAGAAACAAAUCUUUCCUACUGAUGAGUCAACAGGGUCAACAGAAGGUAGGCUCUGAGGGUCAGUCCCUCGUUCAUCCCGUUAUGAUUAUGUUUUCAGCCAAUUAUGAUUGCAUGUCUACUUACAUUACAUAUAUAAGUAUUAAUAUACGCCUACUAUAUGAUAGCUAGAAAAUGUAUUAGCUAAAUAACAUUAGCCUGCCUAGUUGGAACUUCCGAAGAAGGAAAAUGUUUUAUUUAUACAUUUUCCAAAAGCUAACCAAACAAAAACAUUACUUUUAUGAGACAUGUUUAUGCCUUCAUGUGCAUUAGUAGCACAAUUUCUGACUUAUUUAACAUUCGUUUUUACUUACACGUGUAUGUUGACUCCAUAUGUUGUUUUAAUUUUUGGCAUACUUUUCUUAGUGGAUGUACAAUCGCCGCGAAUUGAAUUAUGGGGAGUUUCAGGCCCCGAAGUGAACAUAAUUGUACACAAGCUUUUUUUUAAAUGUUUUUAAUUUAAAUUAGAUUUUUUAUUAACAACAAAUCAAUACAUAAAGCACAUGAGGGAACACAAGCAUACAUAGAUUACAAACACUCGUCUAAAAAUGAGAGGCUGACGUUGCAAACUUCCCUUGCUAAUCAUUUGAACCGCCCACCAAGAUGGUGACGGGGAUUCCCCCAAGGGCAUAAAGCGAGGGUCUCUUUUCUGAAUUGGAACCGCAAACGUCGUGUCUCGUUGAAUGACAACAGACUUUACUGAAUAAUCUCUGCUAUUGAUCAAUCACCGACGAUCACCGAACAACAUUCAAAAACGUCACAAUUGUCAUAAUAUAAACACAACAUUCCGAACUGUUUCGGUUUGUAAGCAUGUGGAUGGAUGCUUUCAGUCUUGGCAGCAACCACUCCUGAUUGGUGGAGUAGUUUGAUAGCCUGGUCCCCGAUCAGUUUGUCCUCUUUUGCCACUGUUGGUAAGACAAUGACCACAGGAGUGGGCAACAUGGCAUAAACAGAUCUGGGACCAGGCUAGCCGUUUUUGAUGAUACUGGUAUUCAGGCAAAGCUUUGACUGUGAAAUCAAUUUGUUUUCUUCAGGUCUCUUGUUAAUAUGUUGUGUAUUUACACUAUUUAUUAGUGGAAUCCAUUUUUUUUUAUUUUACAAGAUUGUAAAUUAACACGAGGCUACAUCAAGGAUCAUGAAUUGUUGUUUUCACAGAUAACAGUCCAUGAUUAGUGAGAUAAAUGUGUAGUUAUGUUUCAGUAGAGGUGACCCGAGCGACCAUAGUUAGGAGGGGUAUCACAAACAGAGCUGGGACCAUCUUGCUGGUAGUUAUGAUGUAGCCUCGGAAGCCCAGGAUCGGAUCGAUCUGGAAGUUAGAAUUUGCAAGACUAAUUUAUGUCCAUCUCCCGUAGAGACUGACUAGCUGAUGUCCAUCUCCACUAGAGACUGACUAGCUGAUGUCCAUCUCCACUAGAGACUGACUAAUUUAUGUCCAUCUCCCGUAGAGACUGACUAGCUGAUGUCCAUCUCCACUAGAGACUGACUUGUUGAUGUCCAUCUCCUGUAGAGACUGACUAUCUGAUGUCCAUCUCCACUAGACUGACUAGCUGAUGUCCAUCUCCACUAGAGACUGACUAGCUGAUGUCCAUCUCCACUAGAUACUGACUAGCUGAUGUCCAUCUCUAGUAGACUGACUAGCUGAUGUCCAUCUCCACUAGAGACUGACUAGCUGAUGUCCAUCUCUAGUAGUCAAAGUUUGCCCUUUAGUAUCUAGAAUCUAUGGGUGUCAGGGUUUUAUAUUUCACUCGGUUACCACAUUCGCCACUAUCACUAAGUUCUGUUCACCGUAUGUUGCUGGGAAUAAAUAAAAAAUAUUUAUUAUCUGUGAUCACAUUUUAUUCUCUACUAACCUGUAUUCAAUCAUUUUAAAGAAAGAAAUGACAGAAAUUCUGUUUGAUACAGAAACAUUUAUUUUAAAGUUGGGAGAGUUGGGAGAAUGACUCAAAAUGGCUGGAUAGAAAAUAUGUGAACAGUUACUGUCUC